CUGGCCUAACAUUAUACAAGAAAAAUUGCUCUCCUGUAGCUCUGGGUUUUUGUCAGAUCAUUUUGUGUUCUCGUUUUGUUGGCCCAGAAUGAUAGGAAUGAUAGGAACUGAUGGAAUCAGAAAAAAGUUUAAGAAUUUAAAUGAUUAUUGGAAAGGUAUUUAUGGUGGAACAUUGCAUCUCAAAGCUCCAGGGUUUGAGUGUGUCUAGAGUCUGUGGUCUCCCUACAUGUUCUCCCCAUGUUCCUGUGAGUUUCCUGGUGGUUGGAGUCUGAGGUCUCCCUGCAUGUUCUCCCCAUGUUCCUGUGGGUUUCCUAGUGGUUCGAGUCUGAGGUCUCCCUGCAUGUUCUCCCCAUGUUCCUGUGAGUUUCCCAGUGGUUCGAGUCUGAGGUCUCCCUGCAUGUUCUCCCCAUGUUCCUGUGAGUUUCCUAGUGGUUGGAGUCUGAGGUCUCCCUGCAUGUUCUCCCCCUGUUCCUGUGAGUUUCCUAGUGGUUGGAGUCUGAGGUCUCCCUGCAUGUUCUCCCCAUGUUCCUGUGGGUUUCCUAGUGGUUCGUCGGUUUCCUCCAUCAUCCCAAAACACUCCAGGUGGAUUGACUGUAAAUUGUUCCUAGAUGGUGGCCUUUCCAGGGUGUAUUCCCACCUCACGUCUAGCGUUCCCGGAAUAAGCUCAGGAUCCACAUCACCCCUGACCAAGCACACACAAUGAACUGUUCUUAUUUUAAAACUGCAUCGAUUUAUUUCUCAAGCUCAAAACAUGCCUUAAGACCUGUCCGUUCAGACGCUCCACUGUUGAAUAUC
ensembl:lncRNA